rnacentral:misc_RNA from 1 species
AAAGAAUUGGCAACAUUUAGGUAUGCGUAAGUGGAAUUCCAACUGCAAGUUGUUUCUAUCAAAGUAACACUACUUCAUUUUUUAUGAUUGAUGCAAUCCCCAUCUUCUGUUAGAGAUCCUAAUAUAGAAACAAUAUGGCCAAAACAAAGGUUCCCAAGAAGGCCAUGCAUCUCUAUACUUAGGCGCUGUUAUUUUAUGCUUUUAUGUCUUCUAUCGUUGGUUGCAUUUUAUUUUUAUUUUUAUUCUGUCUACUUGGUUCAAAGCUACACAAUAAAAUUUCAAUUUUCUAAAUUCUCACAUAUGGAUUAUGGAGGCCCCCAUUAUUUUGUUACUGCAUUACUUUCAUAUGGUCACAAAGGCAGCGAAUAGGGGUCGUUAAUAGCCAAUCUGGUAAUAAACUUGUUUUAAUCUUGUAUGAAUCAACUGGGACUGCUUUUUCUGCAGAAGAGAGCGGGAUCAUUCUGA